rnacentral:tRNA from 1 species
GCGGGCAUGGCGGAAUUGGUAGACGCAAGGGACUUAAAAUCCCUCGAGGGAAACGUCGUGUGGGUUCGAGUCCCACUGCCCGCACCA